GACGAACGCUGGCGGCGUGCUUAACACAUGCAAGUCGAACGGAAAGGCCCUGCUUUCGUGGGGUGCUCGAGUGGCGAACGGGUGAGUAACACGUGAGUAACCUGCCCUUGACUUUGGGAUAACUUCAGGAAACUGGGGCUAAUACCGGAUAGGAGCUCCUGCUGCAUGGUGGGGGUUGGAAAGUUUCGGCGGUUGGGGAGGGACUCGCGGCUUAUCAGCUUGUUGGUGGGGUAGUGGCUUACCAGGGCUUUGACGGGUAGCCGGCCUGAGAGGGGGACCGGCAACAUUGGGCCUGAGUUAGGGCCCAGACUCCUCGGGGAGGCAGAAGUGGGGAAUAUGGCCCAAGGGGCGGAAGCCGGAUGAAGCACCGCCGCGUGCGGGAUGACGGCCUUGGGGUGUUAAACCGCUUUCGCCUGUGCCGAAGCGUGAGUGACGGUAAUGGGUAAAGAAGCACCGGCUAACUACGUG
rnacentral:rRNA from 1 species